GGAAGAUUGCACAAAAGCCAGUUCCUGGGAUUUGUGCUGAAGUCUGAGUGGGCUGGGGUGUUCUCACCAGGCUAUUUCUGUAUAAAAAGCUGUCUGGAACCAUCUGAGAAUCCACUAACCACUGUGGUUUACUGUAAUAUACCUUCUCGUCACUCUCUGUUGCAUCAUUUCCCCUCCAUUUUAUGCUUAAGAGGAUGACUGUGUGCGUGCGUGUGUAUGUCCGGGUGAGUGAGGGUGUUGUGUGUGUUCCAAAGUUAUGUUACCAUGGAGAGUGAUUUGGAAAAGGCAUCUUAGGAACCACUUCAGCUGAACAUAGAAAAAUGCAUUUCAAAAAUCAAAGCUCCUCUUCUAUGCAUAGACUCUGGAAGAACACACAAAAAAAUUGGAGGAAAUUGAGAAUCUCUGAAAAAUCAUGGACUGACUAUGAAGAAGGGAUCUGCCUGCCUUCUUGGAUGCGCACCGCGUGUCCUCCAGGAUGCUGUCUUCACGCCCAUCCCUUGGGAUGGAUGAGUAUCACAGAGAAAACACAGCUGGCGGGGAAGGUAGCCGCCGCUGACUGCAGGGAGCUAGACAUACGCGUGAUGCCUGAAGUUGCCUGCCAGGCGAACAUGAAACAGCUCAUCCAGGUUGGACAGCGAAGCUCCGUACCUCGGCAUGUGGAAGAAUAUGAAACACUUUCAUGAUGUGUCUACACAUGUUCUGAUUCCCCAAGAGAUGAUGGCUCAGACUUCAGAAACUGUGGUGACCCUAUUAUGUAUUUUUAUAUUCUCUUUCCUGAGCUGAUGACCCACUUCCAAACCAAGAGUAUGAGUUACAAAUGAACAUCCCAACAGCAUUUUCUUUUCCAUCUUUACUAUACUGAAAGUCCAUUAGAAUAAAGGACGCCAACACAGCACCGCUCAUUGACCCUGGGUAUUCAAUGUGGCCUAGCUGGACUGUCCUGGACAGAGUCCUAUUCAUUGGAAAUCAUUAGCCAACUCAAGAGGGAGGAAAACGGAAUAAAAAAGAAAAACAUUGCCCAUCACGAAAAUAACUCGAGAACUGUGCACUCUGCCAACAUUGGUCAUUUGUGUCGAACUUGCUUUCAGCACUCUGUUAAAAAUACCACACCCUACCGCUGAAGCGACUGCUCCCUUCCUUUUGAAUAGCAAAGUAAUGGGAACUAGAAAAGCCUCUGUGGAUUUGGCAAGGUUUAGUAUAAAUGUUUCUAUUGAAUCUGGCAAAGAUGAGGAUGGGAUUUAUUAUGUUUUAGUGCUACCUGUUCCUUAAAGGCUGCCUUUUGGAGGUGAAGCCAUGCUUUCCUGUGCGUGAGAGAAUGCCUGGACCUAGUACACUUGGCUGACAAUGUAAUUUUGCUGCACAAGUUAUUGUUGUAUUGUUCCAAUACGCUUGAAACCAUCAUGGAACUUCAUGUAAUGCUGAAUGUUUUCCCACAGGAAAGACUUUAUUUUCCGCAUAGAGCUACCCAGUUUUACAGUUGCCUGCUGAGGACGCGCUGCUACUCCCUUGAACACAAUGGAGCAGAUGUUUCAGAGGAUUUCAGUGUAGUCAGGAGGAAUUUGCUGACUGCCAGCUAUGUGCUAGACACUUUCGUACAUCUUCGUGUGUUGUUGACAGCCACUCUGCAGGUCAGUGGCUGUGUCUUACAAGGGAGGAAGCUGGAGCACAGGGAAGUGAGCGACUUGCCCAAGGGUGCCUCGCUGUAAGUGACAGAGCCGGGAAGCACACCCAGGCCCUUCUGGCCCAAAGUGAACUUCUCUCCCUACAGCUGUGACACUGCCCUUGCAGGCAUCUCUGAUGCUGAAGGUGGAGGUGUGGCUCCUCGUUUGGACAUGGCUUACAAGGAGGCUGAUCAAACAGCAGCUUCUAGGGGCUGCCUGCCUUUCUUGGCUCAUGGACCUUUCCUCCAUCUUCGAAGUACAUCCUCCCAUCUUCUGGUUCUGUCAUCACAUCUCCUUUUUCUCUCUCUGACUCUGAUCCUCCUGCCUCCAUCUUACAAGGACCCUUGUGAUUACACUGGGCUCACCCACGUAAUCCGGAAUGAUCUCCCUAUCUUAAGAUCCUUAAUCACAUCUGCAAAGUCCCUUUGCUAUGAAAGGUAACACAUUCACAGGUUCUGGCAUUAGGACAUGGACAUAUUUGGGAGGUCGUUAUUCA
ensembl:lncRNA